UAGUGUUUGUAUCAUUUCCGGUAUGGCUUUUGGGCUUACUUGAUAGCUCCAUUUAUCCUGUCUUGUGCUCUUACUCUGAUGCUGGAGCAGCUCAAGUUUCCUGUCGAGCUCAGCCAACUGAAGCCUCCAGGCUCACAUCCGCCUUUGGACUGUGGGCCUUGCCUGGGCUGGCAUGUGGACUGAGGUGCCAAUGCCGGUGUGCGAGACGACUAGGAGAGGAUUGGCCGCGUCACCUAGUCCCCAGGUGGGCGGCCUGCUCAUGUUCUCAGGGGCUGCUCGAGCACCCACAGCGCGGCCCGGGCGUACGAGCAUGCUGCCGCCGCCGGCCGCGGUAUAGCGGGCCAGCUGGGGCGCCGCCGGCGAGUCCCUGUCGACGGAGCGGAGCGGGGAUCAGCAGGGAGCGCAGAGCACCGGACGAGCAGGCCAGAGCGCGGCAGAACAGUACGUCAGUGCGUGAGCAGCAGGAAAUGCCGAGUCACUAUGCCAUGCUGGGAAGUUACUGUUAAAU